rnacentral:rRNA from 1 species
AGACCCGAAACCCGGUGAUCUAGCCAUGGGCAGGUUGAAGGUUGGGUAACACUAACUGGAGGACCGAACCGACUAAUGUUGAAAAAUUAGCGGAUGACCUGUGGCUGGGGGUGAAAGGCCAAUCAAACCGGGAGAUAGCUGGUUCUCCCCGAAAGCUAUUUAGGUAGCGCCUCGUGAAUUCAUCUCCGGGGGUAGAGCACUGUUUCGGCUAGGGGGCCAUCCCGGCUUACCAACCCGAUGCAAACUGCGAAUACCGGAGAAUGUUAUCACGGGAGACACACGGCGGGUGCUAACGUCCGUCGUGAAGAGGGAAACAACCCAGACCGCCAGCUAAGGUCCCAAAGUCAUGGUUAAGUGGGAAACGAUGUGGGAAGGCCCAGACAGCCAGGAUGUUGGCUUAGAAGCAGCCAUCAUUUAAAGAAAGCGUAAUAGCUCACUGGUCGAGUCGGCCUGCGCGGAAGAUGUAACGGGGCUAAACCAUGCACCGAAGCUGCGGCAGCGACGCUUAUGCGUUGUUGGGUAGGGGAGCGUUCUGUAAGCCUGUGAAGGUGGCCUGUGAGGGUUGCUGGAGGUAUCAGAAGUGCGAAUGCUGACAUAAGUAACGAUAAAGCGGGUGAAAAGCCCGCUCGCCGGAAGACCAAGGGUUCCUGUCCAACGUUAAUCGGGGCAGGGUGAGUCGACCCCUAAGGCGAGGCCGAAAGGCGUAGUCGAUGGGAAACAGGUUAAUAUUCCUGUACUUGGUGUUACUGCGAAGGGGGGACGGAGAAGGCUAUGUUGGCCGGGCGACGGUUGUCCCGGUUUAAGCGUGUAGGUGUGUGUUCCAGGUAAAUCCGGUUCACUUUAACACUGAGGCGUGAUGACGAGGCACUACGGUGCUGAAGCAACAAAUGCCCUGCUUCCAGGAAAAGCCUCUAAGCAUCAGGUAACAUCAAAUCGUACCCCAAACCGACACAGGUGGUC